rnacentral:rRNA from 1 species
CAGUCGCCGCGGGAAUACGUAGGUGGCGAGCGUUGUCCGGAAUCAUUGGGCGUAAAGGGAGCGCAGGCGGGCAUGUAAGUCUUUCUUAAAAGUGCGGGGCUCAACCCCGUGAUGGGAAAGAAACUACAUGUCUUGAGUACAGGAGAGGAAAGCGGAAUUCCCAGUGUAGCGGUGAAAUGCGUAGAUAUUGGGAGGAACACCAGUGGCGAAGGCGGCUUUCUGGACUGCAACUGACGCUGAGGCUCGAAAGCCAGGGGAGCGAACAGGAUUAGAUACCCCCGUAGUCCCUGUCUCUUAUACA